rnacentral:rRNA from 1 species
AGAGUUUGAUCCUGGCUCAGGACGAACGCUGGCGGCGUGCCUAACACAUGCAAGUCGAACGGGGAUAUUCUUCGGAUUAUCCUAGUGGCGAACGGGUGAGUAACGCGUAGAUAACCUGCCUCUAAGAUGGGGACAACACCUGGAAACGGGUGCUAAUACCGAAUGUUGUAUCGUGAUUGCAUAAUUGUGAUACUAAAGGU